rnacentral:rRNA from 1 species
GAUGAACGCUAGCGGUGUGCCUAAUGCAUGCAAGUCGAACGGGAUCCUUGGAUUCGUCUGAGGUGAGAGUGGCGAACGGGUGAGUAACACGUUGGUGACCUACCCCAAAGAGAGGGAUAACUAUUGGAAACGAUGGCUAAUACCUCGGAUGUAUUACUGUUUAGAAAGGUAAUACUAAAGCUCCGGCGCUUUGGGAGGGGCCUGCGGUCCAUCAGCUAGUUGGUAAGGUAAUGGCUUACCAAGGCAAAGACGGAUAGGGGGCGUGAGAGCGUGACCCCCCACACUGGUACUGAGACACGGACCAGAUACCUGCGGGUAGCAGCAGCAAGGAAUAUUGCGCAAUCGACGCAAGUCGGACGCAGCAACACCGCGUGAAGGAUGAAGGCCCUCGGGUCGUAAACUUCUUUUCUGGGGGAAGAGAAAGGACG